AUGACUAGGGAUAACCUUAGGAAGAGACACAUCAUCAAACCCCUUGAUUGUGUUUACUGCUUGGAACAAGAGUCUGGUUCUCACCUAUUUUUUGAAUGUAUAGUUGCUAAACAUCUCUAGGCCCACAUUGAGGAAUAUUUCUCUAGUCAGAUUGGCUAAUCCUUCGAAUCUGUCGCCAGAUUCUGGAUUGCUACCAAAAAGCUCAGUUUUAACACUGUUAGCUCAGCUGUCCUUUGCUGUCUCUGGAAAUAUAGAAAUGGUAUGAUUUUCAGUAACACCUCCUGGAUUUCCAUUCCGUAGGUCUUGAGGUUGAUCAGGAACAUGGUGAGGAACUGGGCGAUUCUCUCCUCCGGAUCGGACAAGGACAAGUUGAUGAGCUUCGUGGAAACCCUAACAAGAUCCCUCCAGAAACCAUUGGCAAUCACUUGUGGCUGA
rnacentral:rRNA from 1 species